rnacentral:rRNA from 1 species
UACGAAGGGGGCUAGCGUUGCUCGGAAUCACUGGGCAUAAAGCGCACGUAGGUGGAUCGCUAAGUCAGGGGUGAAAUCCUGGAGCUCAACUCCAGAACUGCCUUUGAUACUGGCAAUCUCGAGUCCGGGAGAGGUGAGUGGAACUGCGAGUGUAGAGGUGAAAUUCGUAGAUAUUCGCAAGAACACCAGUGGCGAAGGCGGCUCACUGGCCCGGUACUGACGCUGAGGUGCGAAAGCGUGGGGAGCAAACAGG